UCGAAAUUCACAACUCUCUCUCUCCAUGUCAGUCUUCAACCAAAAUGGACUGCUGUUGUGGCUCUGCUUCUCUCGACUAGUGAUGUUGCUACUGCUGCGUUUGUGCUCCGUCUUGAUUGGUGGUGGUGCUGCUGCUGUUGUUGCUGCUGCUCUCGCUCUCUCUCUCUCUCUCUCUCUCUCUCUCUCUCUCUCUCUCUCUCUCUCUCAGGUUGCUCCUAUAACGAGAUCUGAGCAUAUAUGUUGACGAGAUCUAAACAUUUAUGUUGAGGAUCGACAUUGGCUCACUAGUAUUAUUCUUCUAUUUGGGUAAAUUUUGAGUAAUUAUUAUUUAUCUUGUGCAUAUGAUUUCAUUAUUCUUAUAUUUCCAAGCUUUACUUGUCCUUGCGUUUUAAAGAAUAAGAAAAGAAAAGCAGUGUAAGAGAAAUAAUAAGAGUAGAAAUGGCAAUGUUGUCAAUGAAGAAAAAACCUCAUCCAAAAUUUUCCCUCUUAUCUCUUAAAUCCCUGACUAUAAUCUCUCAUUCACCCAAACUCGUUUCCUCUCCCAAAUCCCUUAAGCCGAAAAAUUGUAUCCUAAAGCAUUUUAAAGUUAUGGCUUGAAUCUCAAAGAACUGUUCGAAGUGGAGUUUGAUUAAUUUUUAACUCCUCCGUCAAAGACAAGCAAACCCAAGUAUUGGAGAAUCGACAAAUUCAUGGCUAUAUCAUAUUCUAUGGGAAGCUUUUAAUUUGCUUUUAUUUUGGUGAACAAUUUUUCUUUCUUAAUUUCUUUAAAUCUUUUCUGGGUUUACUUAUGUUUGGUGAAAUUGGAUGUGGGUUUUACUUUUUCAUUUUGUGAGGAAUUGUCACCAGCUUUUAUUUUUGCUAAGUAGGUGGUGGUAAUCGAACUAGGGAUUUUCGAGUUGCUGCUGCCGAUGUUAUUCAAGUUUGAGCUGCUGCUACUUGUUAGCCUAUAUGGCUAUAAAUAUUGAUUUUGAUGAUAACAAACCACAUGUAUUUAUUGAGUAAAGAUUUAUGAAUUGUACUUUUAUAAUAAGAAAAUGAUGUUAUGGAAUUAAAGCAUUUUGGAC
rnacentral:lncRNA from 1 species